CACGUAGGGGGCGAGCGUUGUCCGGAUUUAUUGGGCGUAAAGAGCUCGUAGGCGGUUCGGCAAGUCGGGUGUGAAAUUUCGAGGCUCAACCUCGAAACGCCACUCGAUACUGCUGUGACUGGAGUCCGGUAGAGGAGUGCGGAAUUCCUGGUGUAGCGGUGAAAUGCGCAGAUAUCAGGAGGAACACCAACGGCGAAGGCAGCACUCUGGGCCGGUACUGACGCUGAGGAGCGAAAGCGUGGGUAGCAAACAGG
rnacentral:rRNA from 1 species